rnacentral:lncRNA from 1 species
UGCAGAGAUCUUUUUCUUUUUCUUUUUAUGCAAUUUUUGUUUGAUGUUUGAAAUUAUGUGAUAAAUUGUGUGCUAAUCCAAAAAUGAUGAAAGUUUUUGUAUAGGUUCCAUGAAGUGGGUAGAACACAAGAAAAAUAGUGGAUUCUGUUUUCUGGUAGUUUACAUGUCUGUAAAAAUUUGCUCUUUUAAUUAGUGAAUAAAACUUCUAGGAAUUUUAAUAAUUUAUUUGUAUGUCCAAAAAUCACCAAAAAUUGUGGGGAGCCUCUGAAUAUUAUUCCCUGGCUCCACACAAAAUUUGGUGGCAUUUGGAUAAUAUUUGAUUAAAAUACUAAUAAAUCCUUAUUUAGCACUUAAAUAAUAAUUCCAAAAUAAUUAAAUAGUGAUUAUUU